AGGACGAACGCUGGCGGCGUGCUUAACACAUGCAAGUCGAACGAGAUCCAUUCAGUAGCAAUACUGAUGAAGAUCUAGUGGCGAACGGGUGCGUAACACGUGAGGAACUUGUCCCGGUCUCUGGGAUAACAGUUGGAAACGACUGCUAAUACCGGAUGACGUCGGAACUUCGCAUGGAGUACUGACGAAAGGGUUACUGGAUCGGGAGAGCCUCGCGGCCUAUCAGCUCGUUGGUGGGGUAAUGGCUCACCAAGGCUUCGACGGGUA
rnacentral:rRNA from 1 species